UCAGUCUGAUAAUCAUAUAGAAAUUAGACGGUGUAGUACUAUGGCGGUGGUAUACUGAUUUGGUGUAAGAAUCACUAACAUGACUUUACGUGUACAAAUCUUACAGGUUAAUGAUAUUAAGAAUUAGUAGCGUGUUUUUUUUGUUUACCGCUGGAUUUGCUAACAAGCUGUCUCUUGUGUUGUUGUUGAUAUGUUGACUUGCUAUUUUUUGUUCAGUUGAAGGGUUCUCCAGGCUUAAGAUCUUUCUAGGAUAAUUGCGUCAUUGAAUCUGAAGGUGUGUGGAAUAUAGGAAAUACAAGGAGAGAUAUUCAGUUGCAAUCCAGCUUUAUUUUCAAAGUGAAACAUGGUUAUGCGAUCUCCUGUGUUGCUGCAUGUUGAUCUUCU